rnacentral:rRNA from 1 species
GACGUAGGGCGCAAGCGUUUGUUCGGAUUCAUUGGGCGUAAAGGGUGCGUAGGCGGCGCGGUAAGUCGGGUGUGAAAUCUUGGAGCUUAACUCCGAAACUGCAUUCGAUACUGCCGUGCUUGAGGACUGGAGAGGAGACUGGAAUUUACGGUGUAGCGGUGAAAUGCGUAGAUAUCGUAAGGAAGACCAGUGGCGAAGGCGGGUCUCUGGGCCGAUACUGACGCUGAGGAGCGAAAGCGUGGGGAGCGAACAGG